AGUGAACGCUGGCGGCAGGCCUAACACAUGCAAGUCGAGCGGCAGCGCGGGGGCAACCCUGGCGGCGAGCGGCGGACGGGUGAGGAAUUCGUCGGAAUCUUCCUUUUUGUGGGGGAUAACGUAGGGAAACUUACGCUAAUACCGCAUACGUCCUACGGGAGAAAGUGGGGGACCGCAAGGCCUCACGCAGAAAGAUGAGCCGACGACCGAUUAGCUAGUUGGUGGGGUAAAGGCCCACCAAGGCGACGAUCGGUAGCUGGUCUGAGAGGAUGAUCAGCCACACUGGGACUGAGACACGGCCCAGACUCCUACGGGAGGCAGCAGUGGGGAAUAUUGGACAAUGGGCGCAAGCCUGAUCCAGCCAUGCCGCGUGUGUGAAGAAGGCCUUCGGGUGGUAAAGCACUUUUGUCCGGAAAGAAAUCCCUGGAGCUAAUACCUGCGGGGGAUGACGGUACCGGAAGAAUAAGCACCGGCUAACUUCGUG
rnacentral:rRNA from 1 species